rnacentral:tRNA from 1 species
AGGGCUUUAGGUUAAUUAAACCAAAGGUUUUCAAAGCCUUAAAUAAGAAGGAUUCUUAAGCUCUG